rnacentral:rRNA from 1 species
CAAUAGCGUAUAUUUAAGUUGUUGCAGUUAAAAAGCUCGUAGUUGGAUUUCGGAUGGGACUUGCCGGUCCGUCGUUUCGAUGUGCACUGGCCAGUCCUAUCUUGUUGUCGGGGACUAGCUCCUGGGCUUCACUGUCCGGGACUAGGAGCUGACGAGGUUACUUUGAGUAAAUUAGAGUGUUCAAAGCAAGCCUACGCUCUGAAUACAUUAGCAUGGAAUAACACGAUAGGACUCUGGCUUAUCUUGUUGGUCUGUGAGACCAGAGUAAUGAUUAAGAGGGACAGUCGGGGGCAUUCGUAUUUCAUUGUCAGAGGUGAAAUUCUUGGAUUUAUGAAAGACGGACUUCUGCGAAAGCAUUUGUCAAGGAUGUUUUCAUUAA